GCAGCUAUAUUUCAUUUUGAUUUCUCAUACUUAACAAUGAAAGGGUUAUGUUUUAAAUCAUAUUUUAGGAUUGCACUUAAUUGAUAUUGCUGUUGAGUGAUGUUUCAUAUCUUUUAAAUUUGUUAUAACCGGACUGCAUGCGAAUUUGAACUUCAGAGCUGAGGAAGCGGGUGGAGAAAUAGUCCCAAUAUCAUAACAAUCUUAAAUAAAACUUCUAAAUAUGCCCGUGUGUGUACCCGUGUGCGCGCGCGCGUGCGCGCGACCCGCUCACGCGCGCGUGUGUAUGUACAGUAUGUGCGUGAGUUUUUAAUUUAAAAUGUCUUAACUUAACUCGGAAGGAUCUGAAUCACAGGUCAUUUCAUCUGAGAUCACUCCGCAUGUAACAGCCGGAAUCACUCACUGUUUCCCACAACGACACGAGUCAUCAGCCGUUUCCUCAAGGUCACGUCAGAGGGGUGGUGAUGUGGAAAGGCAGACCAGACCACCACCAUACGCGAAGAUGAGCCUCGAGGCUUCACAGUUAUUUUUUCAAACUGAGGAGUUUGGACUCCGGACCGUCAUUUCUGCUUGUUUGUACCCUGAGGUAAGUAAACUUUCUACAUUUUUGAAACGAUAUUACUGAAAUAUUUAGUAUAAUUAGUUAAUAUUUAUUUUGUUAGAGUAGGUCUUGUGCUAAAUAGUGAUACUAGAAGCUACAUUUAUAAUAUUUACCUCAGUUAAAAAAUACUGCUGGUAACGUUAAAGCACUGACGGGCUUCGUCAACCGUCAGUUAUAAAAGCUCUGUUAAAUACAUUUUGUUCCUGGUUUUAAUGAAUUACGUUACAGUCCUGCUUUAUUUCUUUGUCAUUUUAAAUUAAAGUGCCAAUCACAAUAAGACAGCUGUGUUGUAAGGAGACGAAAUUCGAGACAGGGGUGUUAUUUCAAUGAAGCGCGUGGUCAAAGGAACCGGGUGGAAGGGAAAUUAUAUGUAAAUGUUUGUCGCAGUUUUACACAUAUUCCGUGAGUAUUUUUCGCUUGUUCACGAGUGUUUUAUCAGGGUUGGAGCUAAACUCGGAAGGAAAGUGGAAACUGCUGGCCACAGUUAAGAACUUUCUGCUGGUCUGUAUUAUAAAUGCACGAUUGCAGUGCAGCGUUUGUAUCCGCAAGUCUAGAUAUGCAUGUUUUCUGUGAUGCACACAAUUAAUUAAUGUGAUGGUAGCUGUUAAGACACUUACAUUUAACAUUCAAAUGUUUUAAAAACCAAACGUGUUCAGGUUUUUAUGUGUAUUUGGUUUGUGAAGUGUAAUUUUUUUUCCUCUCCCUCACAGAUAACCAUGGUUAAUAAAUGGUCAGACACGUCACUGGCUUUAAAAUAUAAACCCCAUUGAUGCAAAAAGGUAAGGUGCUUAAAAGGACCUUGUAAGACUUCGUCACUAAUGUUCAUUAAAGAGAAAAUAAAAAGAAAUCUGUGUUUUGUAGCUUUAAUGAUAAUUCUUACUGUAUGUAUUUCAUUUAGAAUUUAGCAUUAAAGACUGUAAAGUGUUUGAGGAUUUAAUUUAAAUUCUGUAUAUUUCACACUAUUUUUUUAUUGAACAUUGUGUUUUGAAAAAUACAUCACUAGUCAAUUGCAACCUCAAGUUAAUGUAGACUUUAAGGAACUUGUUUGUCUGAAAGUGGAUAUAUAAAGAUUUUUUGUUUUAAGAUGCUGGAUGGAAUGACAAUGUGGUUUGGAACAGACUUGGUGAAGCACAUGGAAACAUCUCUUAAUAAAAUGGCCCCAAACAUCAUCAGGAGUGCAAAAGAAGGAAGUAAAAACAUCUCUACGCCAAUCUCAUUGGAGAGGAAACCACAGAAGGUCUGGUGAGGAAUGCUGCACUUAUGUUAUUGCAAGCAUUAUUUCAAGAAAAUCCCAGCUUCCUUGACUGUGUAAAUAGUGAACCCAAAGGUCCCACACCAACCAUAGUGUUCAACGGCUCUCCUGAUCUUCUCAAAUCUGAAAGUAUCAACUUUAUAAUGGACAAUGUGAACUAAAUAUGUGGAAGACAUUGACAUCACAGGCUGUGGAAUGACUGUGUCACAGGUCGGAGAAGCAGACCGCCCCUGUCGCGGAUCACGCUCCUCCUAGUUCCACCUCGAGGAGGUCCCAAAGCACCCCAAUGACCAGACAAACCAGAGGGGGAGUAUUACGGGGCCAGGGACGUUGGAGGGGUUUCCACGUGACUCCAGCUGGAACACCGCUACAGAGCGUAUCUGGGUGGGUUGGGCACACACCGUCGCGGCGGCCCCUGAUGGCAUCCACAAGGGUCCAAGACCCUCCUAAGCUCCUAGCCAUAGCAGAACUACGUAUUUCAGCACCCGAACGACUAACAACCCAGCCGGCAUCUGCAGCGUAUAUCCAACGCGAUCAAACUUCACUCUGACAAGUAACUUCCUAUACACAACCACGCCGUCCUUUCGCCCGGACCAGCCCCGCACUCUUUCCGCCCGCUACCUAGCGGUCGCCGGAUCAGCAGAGCCUGCGGACUCUUCGGAGGCUGGUCUUCGUUGUGCUGUCCAAGGCGAAAGUUGACUCGCCCGAAAAUCGACCCUUCCAGUAACUUCUACCUUCUCUCUUUAUAUCCUCCUCCCAGGCGUGGCUCGCCCAACCAUCGCUCGCCACGUCACUCACACAGCUGUGCCUUGUUUCAGCGAGUGCGGGGAUUCCCGGGGAACCCUGAAGUGCCGGUGUCUGUACAAACCGGUCCAGGCGGAACCUCUUCACUCUCCUUUUGGUUCCGCCCCGCAUAGUCACUCCGUGACAACUGUUUGCGUUUUUUUUUCUCCUCAAUGUUCAAUACCCUUUUGCCAUUAAGCACACAGUGACUUUAAUUUAUAAAAUAUAUGCUUAAGUUUUAAUACCUGUACAAAACAAAUGUACAAUCAACUUGUGUAAAUUGUCAUUCUAUUUAAUAGAUUGUUCAUGAAUUGUCUUUAAAUGCAUUGUGAUUUCGGUAACACUUUACAAUAAAGUUAAUUAGUUAACAUUAGUUAAUGUAUUAACUAACUUGAACAAACCAUAAGCAAUACAUUUGUUACAGUAUUUAUUCAUCUUUGUUAAUGUUAAUUAAUAAAAAUUUAAGCUUUAAUUGCUUGUUCAUGUUAGUUCAGAGUGCAUUAACUAAUGUUAACAAGAUUUUAAUCAAGUAAUUGUUGAAAUUAACAUUAACAAAGAUUAAUAAAGGCUGUAUAAGUGCAGUUCAUUAUUAGUUCAUGUUAACUAAUGUAGCUAACUAAUGUUAACUAAUGAACCUUAUUGUAAAGUGUUACCGUGAUUUCUUUUCAUCAUUUCAGACACAUGUAAAAGUUACUAAAAAUUAAUACUGCAUAUAGUGUACAGUAUCUAUGCGUAAGGGAAAUAACUUAAACAAAAUUUUUAAUGUAUAGUGUAAUUAAGAGUUUAGCUGUUUAAUACAGAGAUGCAAUUUAUUUAUAUAUAUUAUUUAUAUAUAAACGUAUGUAUGUUUAUUAAAAAGUGAAAAUGCUUAAUGGAAAUAAUUAAAUAACUAAAUGGUUGAAUGUAAUGAGACAUUUUAAAUGUAAACUAAAGUUUUGCUGUCUAAUACAGAAUAAAGAGAUGUGAUUUUAAGUAA